rnacentral:tRNA from 1 species
GCAUUGGUGGUUCAGUGGCAGAAUUAUUUCCUUCCAUGUGGGAGGCCGGAGUUUGAUUCCCAGCCAAUGUA